CGUCACCCUGGGCGAUGGGCAGUGGCUGCAGGUGUAGUCAUUCUCCCUGUCCCCCUGUGACACAGCUGUAAUCACCAUGGCUUCUUGAUAGCGCUUUCUGACGGUAGCUUGGUUGUAGAUUGUGGAGGGAAGGUCCCUCGCAGUCUUCCUAAGUUCCCGUAGUGUUUUGGCAAGGGAUUCUUUGGCAUCAUCGGGAGGUGCUGGCAUGGUUAAUGUUAUGUUAGCAGCAGUUUCUCCUGACCCUU